AGUGAAAGAGAACCUGAAACCGUAUGUCUACAAGCAGUCGGAGCGAAAGCGACGGCGUGCCUAUUGAAGAAUGAACCAACGAGUUACGUGCACUAGCGAGGUUAAGUGGAAGACACGGAGCCGAAGCGAAAGCGAGUCUUAAUAGGGCGGAUAGUUAGUGUACGUAGACCCGAAACCGCAGUGAUCUACCCAUGUCCAGGUUGAAGCGCAGGUAAAAUUGCGUGGAGGACCGAACCUGUGAGCGUUGAAAAGCUUUAGGAUGAGAUGUGGGUAGAGGUGAAAUUCCAAUCGAACGCGGAGAUAGCUGGUUCUCCCCGAAAUAGCUUUAGGGCUAGCCUCAAGUAGUAAGUAUAGGCGGUAGAGCACUGAUCGGGCUAGGGGCCAUAACGGUUACCGAACCCUGUCAAACUCCGAAUGGUUAUACUGUAGAGCUUGGGAGUCAGACUACGAGUGAUAAGAUCCGUGGUCAAAAGGGAAACAGCCCAGACCACCAGCUAAGGUCCCCAAUGCCGUACUAAGUGGAGAAGGAUGUGGGGUCUCUAAAACAACCAGGAUGUUGGCUUAGAAGCAGCCACCAUUUAAAGAGUGCGUAAUAGCUCACUGGUCGAGAGACCCUGCGCCGAAGAUUACCGGGGCUAAAGUACGGAACCGAAGCUGUGGCUACGACUUUGAGUCGUGGGGUAGGGGAGCGUUCUCUGAGGGCUGAAGUCGUUCUGUAAGGGACGGUGGACUUCAGAGAAGUGAGAAUGUUGGUAUGAGUAGCGAAAAGAAAGGUGAGAAUCCUUUCCACCGAAAGCAUAAGGAUUCCUGGGCAACGAUCGUCGUCCCAGGGUAAGUCGGGACCUAAUCCGAGGCAUGGAGCGUAGGAGAUGGACAACUGGCAGAUAUUCCAGUACCGGUAAUGAUUGUUUGAGCGAUGGAGUGACACAGGAGGGCAGGCAGGCAGGAGAUUGGUAGUUCCUGUACAAGCGUGUAGGAUGGGUUAUAGGCAAAUCCGUAACCUGAAAGUCUGAGGCGUGAUGUGGAGAGAAUGGAGACAUUCUUGAAGCUGUUGACCCCACACUGUCGAGAAAAGCUUCUAGUGAGAAAGUUACCGCCCGUACCGUAAACCGACACAGGUAUGCGGGGAGAGAAUCCUAAGGUGCGCGGGAGAACCCUCGUUAAGGAACUCGGCAAAAUGUACCCGUAACUUCGGGAUAAGGGUAGCCAGCGUUGUGAAGGAAUUUACUUCUGGAGCAUAGUCUGGUCGCAGAGAAGAGGCCCAAGCGACUGUUUACCACAAACACAGGUGCCUGCUAAAGAGAAAUCUGACGUAUAGGUGCUGACACCUGCCCAGUGCCGGAAGGUUAAGGAAGGAUGUCCGGAGCAAUCCAAAGCAUUCGACCGAAGCCCCGGUGAACGGCGGCCGUAACUAUAACGGUCCUAAGGUAGCGAAAUUCCUUGUCGGGUAAGUUCCGACCCGCACGAAAGGUGUAACGACUUGCGCACUGUCUCAACGAGGGACCCGGUGAAAUUGAAGUACCUGUGAAGAUGCAGGUUACCCGCGACUGGACAGAAAGACCCCAUGGAGCUUUACUGUAACCUGACAUUGGGUUCUGAUACAUCACGUACAGGAUAGGUGGGAGGCAUGGAAGCGAGGACGCUAGUCUUCGUGGAGCCGCCGUUGGGAUACCACCCUUGAUGUAUCGGAAUUCUAACCGUAGGAGUAACGAAACUCGGGACAGUGUCAGGCGGGCAGUUUGACUGGGGCGGUCGCCUCCCAAAGAGUAACGGAGGCGCCCAAAGGUUCCCUCAGCGCGGCCGGAAAUCGCGCGAAGAGUGUAAAGGCAGAAGGGAGCUUGACUGAGAGCCAAACACGGCAAUCAGGUACGAAAGUAGGGCUUAGUGAUCCGGUGGCAUCCAAGUGGAAGGGCCAUCGCUCAACGGAUAAAAGCUACCCUGGGGAUAACAGGCUAAUCUCUCCCAAGAGUCCAUAUCGACGGGGAGGUUUGGCACCUCGAUGUCGGCUCAUCACAUCCUGGGGCUGAAGUCGGUCCCAAGGGUUGGGCUGUUCGCCCAUUAAAGUGGUACGUGAGCUGGGUUCAGAACGUCGUGAGACAGUUCGGUCCCUAUCCAUCGCGGGCGCAAGAGAUUUGAAGGGGGCUGCUCCUAGUACGAGAGGACCGGAGUGGACGAACCAAUGGUGUACCAAUUAUCCUGCCAGGGGUAUAGUUGGGUAGCUACGUUCGGAAAGGAUAAACGCUGAAAGCAUCUAAGCGUGAAACCAGCCUUAAGAUGAGAUCUCUCAUAGCAAAAGCUAGUAAGACACCUUGA
rnacentral:rRNA from 1 species